rnacentral:rRNA from 1 species
UACGUAGGGUGCAAGCGUUGUCCGGAAUUAUUGGGCGUAAAGAGCUCGUAGGCGGUCAGUCGCGUCUGCUGUGAAAACUCGGGGCUUAACUCCGGGCCUGCAGUGGGUACGGGCAGACUAGAGUGCGGUAGGGGAGAUUGGAAUUCCUGGUGUAGCGGUGGAAUGCGCAGAUAUCAGGAGGAACACCAAUGGCGAAGGCAGAUCUCUGGGCCGUAACUGACGCUGAGGAGCGAAAGCAUGGGGAGCGAACAGG